rnacentral:rRNA from 1 species
GAUGAACGCUGGCGGCGUGCCUAAUACAUGCAAGUCGAGCGGACGGACGAGAAGCUUUCUUCUUUUAUGUUAGCGUCGCACGGGUGAGUAAAACGUGGAUAACCCACCUUUAUGACUGGGAUAACCUCGGGAAACCGGAGCUAAUACCGGAUUAUCUUCUGAACCGCAUGGUUCAAAAGUGAAAGACGGUCUUGCUGUCACUUAUAGCUGGUUCCGCGCUGCAUUAGCUAGUUGGUAAGGUAACGGCUUACCAAGGCAACGAUGCAUAGCCGACCUGAGAGGGUGAUCGGCCACACUGGAACUGAGACACGGUCCAGACUCCUACGGGAGGCAGCAGUAGGGAAUCUUACGCAAUGGGCGAAAGCCUGACGGAGCAACGCCGCGUGAGUGAUGAAGGUCUUCGGAUCGUAAAACUCUGUUAUUAGGGAAGAACAGAUGUGUAAGUAAAUGUGCACAUAUUGACGGUACCUAAUCAGGAAGCCACGGCUAACUACGUG